rnacentral:snoRNA from 1 species
ACGACCUUACUUGAACAGGAUCUGUUCUAUAGGCUCGUACCGCUGCAUCCUUCACCAAUAAGGAGGCAAGCACUUCAGUCUGGUUGAUGCAUUCUCACCUCUGGGCCAGAGCGUGAUUAACGGCUAGGAUCACCUGAUGGGUGCCAUCUGACGGCUGUAGAGGAUCGUUCCUGCCUGGUGGCUCACACUAGUGCAGGGUGGCUCAGAGGUUGUCUGACAGACU